rnacentral:tRNA from 1 species
GUGAGUACAGCUCAGCGGUAGAGCACGUGCUUAGCAUGCAAGAGGUCCUGGGUUCAAUCCCUAGUACCUUCA